UAAAAUUAAAAAAUUUGGCGGUAUUUUAAUCUAUUUAGAGGAACCUGUUUUGUAACUGAUAAUCCACGAUUAAUUUUACUUAAUCUUUAAAUUUAUAUAUCGUUGUUUUUAAAUUAUUUUAAAAGAAUUAAAUAAUUAAUAUUUUUAAUAAAAAAAUAAUUCAAAUCGAGAUGUAGUUUAUGAUUAAGAAAUAAUGGGUUACAUUAAUAAUAAUUAUAGAUUAAUUAAUGAAAUUUAAUUAUGAAAUUGGAUUUAAAUGUAAUAUUUUUUAUUUUUUAAAUAUGAUUUUAGUUCUAAAAUAUGUACAUAUUGCCCGUCGCUUUUAUUUUAAGAUAAAAUAAGUCGUAACAUAGUAGAUUUACUGGAAAGUGAAUCUAGAAGA
rnacentral:rRNA from 1 species